rnacentral:rRNA from 1 species
CAGCAGCCGCGGGAAUACGAAGGGGGCUAGCGUUGCUCGGAAUCACUGGGCGUAAAGGGUGCGUAGGCGGGUCUUUAAGUCAGGGGUGAAAUCCUGGAGCUCAACUCCAGAACUGCCUUUGAUACUGAAGAUCUUGAGUUCGGGAGAGGUGAGUGGAACUGCGAGUGUAGAGGUGAAAUUCGUAGAUAUUCGCAAGAACACCAGUGGCGAAGGCGGCUUACUGGCCCGAAACUGACGCUGAGGCGCGAAAGCGUGGGGAGCAAACAGGAUUAGAGACCCGUGUAGUCCCUGUCUCUUAUAC